GGAAAAGGAAUGAAGUUUUAGUUUGCCUUAAUUUUUAUCUUUAUUGUUUCAGACUCUUCAGCAGUAUAAAGUUUUCAUCAAGUCAAAUAUAUUCACUUUAAAGUGACUGUGCUUUAUUCUGAUACCAUGUCCUUCCUAAUUUGGGGGGCACAGCUGGAGAAAAUUCACUGGCAAUGGAAUAUUUAAAAUUAGAGCUUGCUUAGUGUGCUGCUUCUGAUCACUACUUGAUCCCACUUCGUGCUUUCAUGUUAAUUGGCCCAAUUGGACUCUACAGUUGGAAGGUGAAAACUUACUAUUUCAACUUGAGUCAC
rnacentral:lncRNA from 1 species